GGAUUAUGUAACUGGACAGAAUAUAAAUACUUGAGGGAAUUAUUCUGAACAUUCAUUGCAAGAUUUGUAGAAGAAAAUCAGCACAUUUUCUGUCAUAAUGUCGAGCAAACAUUUACAAACUGGCGAUGCAAGACCUGCUUUUGACAACACGAAGAAAUUCCGUAUUUACAGCAUGAAAUUCUGUCCAUUCGCUCAGGUGUGUAAUAGAUACAGUAUAUGGAUAACAAUCUCGAUUAUAGGAAUAUUCAGUUGAAAUUAGCAAAAUAAUUGGGAAAAAAACUAAAACUAUAGCCAAGCUCUGAUUGGUUUUACAGUAAGAAUAUCUUCUUGCCAUGGAGAAUUAUAAAAUUGAAAAUUGUUUAUUGUCAUGGAAUUGUAUGAACCUGGGACUGUAUAGAAUCUAAUUCAACAAGGGAGGAAAGACAAGAAAAUACAAACUACCUGUUGCAACUAAAUUGUGUUUAAGGUUAAGCUACCCCGGUACGGAUAUAUUGCCAUUAUAUUUUGUUAACCAAAUUUUGCUGCAUGAUGUCGGCAUGUUUACCCAUAAUGUUCAGUGGC